rnacentral:lncRNA from 1 species
UCGCUCGGAAAGAGGACCAAAAUGGAGGAGUAAGAAUCAUGAUUAAAUUGAGCGAGCGCAACUAAUCACGCGAAGAGGGCCGCAGGCGGGCCGUCUUCCGCAAGCGUGCUUCCAGGCCUCCACUCCCCACCUAUUCGGCGGCACCCUGUUACUUCUGCUCCUGCGCGCUGCUUCCCGCGACCUCACAGGCAGAGCGAACACGCACGGAGUCGCAGGGGCGCGCAAAGGGGGAGGAGCGGGCGUGACCAGGCGCGCGCGCGCGUCUGGAGUGACUCUAGAGAGCAGGAGCAGAUCCGGGGUAGAGGGAAAAGAGCUCCGGGCCAGGGGCUGCCGUCGCCGCCGUCGGGGAGUCAGCCCGCCAGCCCGCCAGCUCGUCAGCCCGCCAGCCAGCGCUUCGCGGGCCCUGUCGGUCCCGGUAAGCGGGCCUGCGCUUACCGGAAAGAGGAGCGUAAGAUGAAAGAGUUUCUUGCGGCCCCAUAACUUUUUCUUGGUGUUCUAUGGCUUUAUGAAUGGAGGAGCCAACUCACAGACCUGGGCCAUUCGGGUGGUU